UUCGGAUUUGUUUACCUAAUAGAUAGCUAAGUAAUUUAGUACUAGAGUAACAAAGUAACGUACUAGUUGUUAAGUUAAAAGGUAGAUUAAUAUUCCGGAUAUGAGCGAGGAAUGUCGGCGAGCGGCGGACGGCUGAGUAGCGCGUAGGAACAUACCCCAAAGUGAGGCAUAACCGCCCGAAAGGGUGGCUAAUACCGCAUAUUGUCUUCGGAUGAAAGCUUUUAGCGCUUUGGGAAUGGCCUGCGUUUGAUUAGCUAGUUGGUGAGGUAAGGGCUUACCAAGGCGAUGAUCAAUAGCUGGUUUGAGAGAAUGAUCAGCCAGACUGGAACUGAGACACGGUCCAGACUCCUACGGGAGGCAGCAGUUGGGAAUAUUGGACAAUGGGCGCAAGCCUGAUCCAGCCAUGCCGCGUGAGUGAAGAAGGCCCUCGGGUUGUAAAGCUCUUUUGUUGGGGAAGAAAAGCAGUUGGUUAAUACCCGAUUGUUCUGACGGUACCCAAAGAAUAAGCACCGGCUAACUUCGUG
rnacentral:rRNA from 1 species